UCUACCAAGUCAGGAGAUGUCGACGACCACCACAAUGAUGAAGACUCAAGACCACUACAGCGACGAUCAAGACUUAGACGACCACGACUUACGACGACUAUGGCGACGACCAAAACUACGACGGUGGUAUUCAUAACACUGCGUCCAGGUGUAGCAGCGACUGCUGCCAUCGUACACACAUACGUCCAUUAUAAUGUACACGAAUAAUGCGUGUGACGAGGCUCACGGAAUAUUACGUCUGGAGAAUUGGAAUCAACGGAUUAUGCCCGCAAUGUAUACACACGAACGAGCGUCGCGUACUGCAUACUAUAUUAUUCCAACACAAUGCCAUAAUGGUGCGGCAAUACUGCAGCGCGGAAGCGAAGAGGAAACGAAAAACAAUAACAGAGAUGUGCUGCACCGGUUACGACGACAUGUGUAUAAUGAGAGCUGUUCCUCGUCGGCCCGUCCGGUGGUCUGCCUGCCGAGCACCGCCGCAGAGCUGCAAAUGUCGACUCGAAGAAAAAUGCGUGGCACCC